rnacentral:rRNA from 1 species
GACGAACCGUGCGAACGUUGUUCGGAAUCACUGGGCUUAAAGGGCGCGUAGGUGGUUUGCCAAGUCGGGGUUGAAAUCUUUCGGCUUAACCGGAAAAGUGGCUUCGAUACUGGCAAGCUGGAGGGAGGUAGGGGCGGAUGGAACUUCCGGUGGAGCGGUGAAAUGCGUAGAGAUCGGGAAGAACAUCGGUGGCGAAAGCGCUCUGCUGGACUGCAACUGACACUCAGGGACGAAAGCUAGGGGAGCGAAUGGG